GAUGAACGCUGGCGGCGUGCCUAAUACAUGCAAGUCGAGCGAACAGGUCCGGAUUUUUCUCCUCUGACUUUAGCGGCGGACGGGGGAGAAACCCGUGGAAAACCUACCUUUAAGUCUGGGAUACCUCUGGAAAGCCGGGCCUAAUAGCGGAUAAUAUACUGAACCGCAUGGUGUGAUUGUGAAAGACGGUUUUGCUUGCAGUUAUGGUUGGAUCUGCGCCGGAUUAGCUUGUUGGUGAGGUAACGGCGUUCCAAGGCAACGAUGCGUAGCCGACCUGAGAGGGUGAUCGGCCACACCGGAGCUGAGGCACGGUCGAGACUCCUACGGGAGGCAGCAGCAGGGAAUCGUCCGCCAUGGGCGGAAGCCUGACGGUGCAGCGCCGCGUGAUUGAUGAUGGUCUUCGUAUCGUAGAACUCUGUUAUUAGGGAAGAACAAGUGUGUAAGUAACUAUGCACGUCUUGACGGUAACUAAUCAGAAAGCCACGGCUAACUACGUG
rnacentral:rRNA from 1 species